AGUGAACGGAGUUUGGACAAAAGCUGUGUGCACACAAAAACAAGUGUCUUCAUACAGGUGUUUUUUCUUAACCUGGAAGCCUGAGUACGGCAGCAGAAGACAGGCCAAGCUUUGGCUAAAAUUCACGGCUGGACACCAGAGUUGUCCUCACCCCUCCCGUGUUAACCUCUGGCGGAAGACAUGGAGAAAAGGAAAAGAUGUUCCUGGUAAAUCACUGAAACAAAUAAAACCACACACAACCAGAGAAAGAUAUGAGAAGGGUGAGGAACAGACACAUGUGCGUGUUAGAGAAAUGCCUCGUUUGAGAAAAAGUUAAAGUAACCCAUAUACAGACGCACCCAUACAUGCAAUGAAGAAACAGCUUACAUACAUGUGCACGUACAUGCAAGGUUAAAGUAGCGACACUUAACAUACACCUGUUUUUAAAUGAUAUAGUUUAUACAUUACUGACAAUUAAACGCUUUGGGUUGCAGGACAACAACGUAACGUCAAAAGACAAAGACACUGGUCUGAGGAUUAAGUGAGGACACGACAAAUUUAGUGGUUAAAAGGGUCGACUUGGGACAUGUUUUUGUUGAUUGUUUAAGACAAAUGACUACUGAAUGAUAGGAAAUUCCUUUUUAGGUUUCUAAACAGGAUCUUAAGAAUUUUAACACGUACCUGUGUUGUCCUGUCAACUUGAGGGGUUAUGAGUUGAUUAUAUGGUGAAAAAAAAAAAAAACAAAAACAAAGAAGGGGGGAGACGAGAUCUCGUUGUUUCUCCCCUCUCGGGAUAACACAGCCAACACAGCACAGCCAACACAACAUCAUUUUCCUGUUCGCCUGUUUUGUUUUGUUUUUGUUUUUUCUGAGAGCCGAAGCUGACCUGGACUCCUACCCUCCCCUCUACCAUCGUUGCCCUCUCCGCGACCAUCUUUGACCCUUUGACCCCUGAAGGCCACAGCAGCUGGACUCACAACAACAACUUGAGGAUGUCAACAGUGCUGCAAAAGAGUGAUCUCAUGCAGCAGAGACGGAGAGCACUAAACCUAACGCCCGUUUCACUACACGGGGGAAAUUCCCAGGCUGCGUCAGCUGACAGAGCUGUGACGAGACGCGCAUUAAGCCCGGAGGAAAAGGGACGGUGAGCAGAAGGAUGCUGACCUCUGAGAAGAGCCGAACAGCAGAGCUGCAGAAGGCCGUGGAGCAAAGUAAGGA
ensembl:lncRNA